UACGUAGGGUGCAAGCGUUUAAUCGGAAUUACUGGGCGUAAAGCGUGCGCAGGCGGUUAUGUAAGACAGGUGUGAAAUCCCAGGGCUUAACCUUGGAACUGCAUUUGUGACUGCAUAGCUAGAGUACGGUAGAGGGGGAUGGAAUUCCGCGUGUAGCAGUGAAAUGCGUAGAUAUGCGGAGGAACACCGAUGGCGAAGGCAAUCCCCUGGACCUGUACUGACGCUCAUGCACGAAAGGCGUGGG
rnacentral:rRNA from 1 species